GCGACAGGCUUAACACAUGCAAGUCGAGGGGCAGCACAGGUAGCAAUACCGGGUGGCGACCGGCGCACGGGUGAGUAACGCGUAUGCAACUUGCCUAUCAGAGGGGGAUAACCCGGCGAAAGUCGGACUAAUACCGCAUGAAGCAGGGGCCCCGCAUGGGGAUAUUUGCUAAAGAUUCAUCGCUGAUAGAUAGGCAUGCGUUCCAUUAGGCAGUUGGCGGGGUAACGGCCCACCAAACCGACGAUGGAUAGGGGUUCUGAGAGGAAGGUCCCCCACAUUGGUACUGAGACACGGACCAAACUCCUACGGGAGGCAGCAGUGAGGAAUAUUGGUCAAUGGGCGUAAGCCUGAACCAGCCAAGUCGCGUGAGGGAUGAAGGUUCUAUGGAUCGUAAACCUCUUUUAUAAGGGAAUAAAGUGCGGGACGUGUCCCGUUUUGUAUGUACCUUAUGAAUAAGGAUCGGCUAACUCCGUGCCAGCAGCCGCGGUAAUACGGAGGAUCCGAGCGUUAUCCGGAUUUAUUGGGUUUAAAGGGUGCGUAGGCGGCCUUUUAAGUCAGCGGUGAAAGUCUGUGGCUCAACCAUAGAAUUGCCGUUGAAACUGGGAGGCUUGGGUAUGUUUGAGGCAGGCGGAAUGCGUGGUGUAGCGGUGAAAUGCUUAGAUAUCACGCAGAACCCCGAUUGCGAAGGCAGCCUGCCAAGCCAUUACUGACGCUGAUGCACGAAAGCGUGGGGAUCAAACAGGAUUAGAUACCCUGGUAGUCCACGCAGUAAACGAUGAUCACUAGCUGUUUGCGAUACACUGUAAGCGGCACAGCGAAAGCGUUAAGUGAUCCACCUGGGGAGUACGCCGGCAACGGUGAAACUCAAAGGAAUUGACGGGGGCCCGCACAAGCGGAGGAACAUGUGGUUUAAUUCGAUGAUACGCGAGGAACCUUACCCGGGUUUGAACGCAUUUUGACAGCUCUGGAAACAGAGCCUCUAGCAAUAGCGAUUUGCGAGGUGCUGCAUGGUUGUCGUCAGCUCGUGCCGUGAGGUGUCGGCUUAAGUGCCAUAACGAGCGCAACCCUUGCCACUAGUUACUAACAGGUAAAGCUGAGGACUCUGGUGGGACUGCCAGCGUAAGCUGCGAGGAAGGCGGGGAUGACGUCAAAUCAGCACGGCCCUUACAUCCGGGGCGACACACGUGUUACAAUGGCGUGGACAAAGGGAGGCCACCUGGCGACAGGGAGCGAAUCCCCAAACCACGUCUCAGUUCGGAUCGGAGUCUGCAACCCGACUCCGUGAAGCUGGAUUCGCUAGUAAUCGCGCAUCAGCCAUGGCGCGGUGAAUACGUUCCCGGGCCUUGUACACACCGCCCGUCAAGCCAUGGGAGCCGGGGGUACCUGAAGUCCGUAACCGAAAGGAUCGGCCUAGGGUAAAACUGGUGACU
rnacentral:rRNA from 1 species